rnacentral:rRNA from 1 species
GAAGAAAGAGGGCGGCGUGCUUAACACAUGCAAGUCGAACGGAAAGGCCCUGCUUUUGUGGGGUGCUCGAGUGGCGAACGGGUGAGUAACACGUGAGUAACCUGCCCUUGACUUUGGGAUAACUUCAGGAAACUGGGGCUAAUACCGGAUAGGAGCUCCUGCUGCAUGGUGGGGGUUGGAAAGUUUCGGCGGUUGGGGAUGGACUCGCGGCUUAUCAGCUUGUUGGUGGGGUAGUGGCUUACCAAGGCUUUGACGGGUAGCCGGCCUGAGAGGGUGACCGGCCACAUUGGGACUGAGAUACGGCCCAGACUCCUACGGGAGGCAGCAGUGGGGAAUAUUGCACAAUGGGCGGAAGCCUGAUGCAGCAACGCCGCGUGCGGGAUGACGGCCUUCGGGUUGUAAACCGCUUUCGCCUGUGACGAAGCGUGAGUGACGGUAAUGGGUAAAGAAGCACCGGCUAACUACGUG